CUGCUCUUUGAACAUGGAUCAGCAGCUAUUGCCAAACACUUUCUUGGCUGCUAAUCACACUUUUCUCCUUUGUGUGACUCACAGUAGGUAUUUAAGAUAGCAGCUGCAAAUAAAAAGCUCUUUCCUUGCCUUCUUCACUUCAAACCAGUAAAGCACAAAUUGCGUUGCAAUUAUCUCCUUUUUUUCUUAUUACGGAGGGGGAACGCGCUCUUACUUUUUAACGAUUUCAAAACGCAAUAUCGCCCGAUAUCUGCUGGAAAUGCUACAGCGAAGGGGCAAAAAAUAUUACUUGAAAACAAGAAAAUGGAAUAACGCUAAAUGACGAGAUGUCUACUUGUAUAAGAACUCUUCAAAGUAACGGAAAAAAGACAGUCACCGGAAAAGUGUAGCAAGGGAGGAGUGUUUAUAUUUAUUACAUUCAUUUCAUUGCGCGUGCAUGUGUGUUUUAAUUCCAUGAUGAAGUCAUGUACUAAAAGAAAAUUUUUAAAAGACCAAAAAAAAAGCUUUUGUAAGUCGGCGGCAGG